GCGGGGGUUACCGAGCCUGGAAAAGGUGCAGGGCUUAGGACCCUGUCUCGCAGGAGUACGCGGGUUCAAAUCCCGCCCCCCGCA
rnacentral:tRNA from 1 species